rnacentral:rRNA from 1 species
CACAUGCAAGUCGAACGAUGAACUCCAGCUUGCUGGGGGGAUUAGUGGCGAACGGGUGAGUAACACGUGAGUAACCUGCCCCUGACUCUGGGAUAAGCGCUGGAAACGGCGUCUAAUACCGGAUAUGACAAUCGACGGCAUCGUCUGGUUGUGGAAAGAAUUUCGGUUGGGGAUGGACUCGCGGCCUAUCAGGUUGUUGGUGAGGUAAUGGCUCACCAAGCCUACGACGGGUAGCCGGCCUGAGAGGGUGACCGGCCACACUGGGACUGAGACACGGCCCAGACUCCUACGGGAGGCAGCAGUGGGGAAUAUUGCACAAUGGGCGCAAGCCUGAUGCAGCAACGCCGCGUGAGGGACGACGGCCUUCGGGUUGUAAACCUCUUUUAGUAGGGAAGAAGCGAAAGUGACGGUACCUGCAGAAAAAGCACCGGCUAACUACGUGCCAGCC